rnacentral:rRNA from 1 species
UACGGGGGGGGCAAGCGUUGUUCGGAAUUACUGGGCGUAAAGGGCUUGUAGGUGGCCAACUAAGUCAAACGUGAAAUCCCUCAGCUUAACUGGGGAACUGCGCUUGAUACUGGAUGGCUUGAGUUUGGGAGAGGGAUGCGGAAUUCCAGGUGUAGCGGUGAAAUGCGUAGAUAUCUGGAGGAACACCGGUGGCGAAGGCGGCAUCCUGGACCAAUACUGACACUGAAAAGCGAAAGCCAGGGGAGCAAACGGG